GAUGAACGCUAGCGGGAGGCCUAACACAUGCAAGCCGAGCGGUAUUUGUCUUUCGGGACAGAGAGAGCGGCGUACGGGUGCGGAACACGUGUGCAACCUGCCUUUAUCUGGGGGAUAGCCUUUCGAAAGGAAGAUUAAUACCCCAUAAUAUAUUGAUUCGCAUGGAUUGAUAUUGAAAACUCCGGUGGAUAGAGAUGGGCACGCGCAAGAUUAGAUAGUUGGUGAGGUAACGGCUCACCAAGUCAGUGAUCUUUAGGGGGCCUGAGAGGGUGAUCCCCCACACUGGUACUGAGACACGGACCAGACUCCUACGGGAGGCAGCAGUGAGGAAUAUUGGACAAUGGGUGAAAGCCUGAUCCAGCCAUCCCGCGUGAAGGACGACGGUUCUAUGGAUUGGAAACUUCUUUUAUAUAGUGAUAAACCUACUUACGUGUAAGUAGCUGAAGGUACUAUAUGAAUAAGCGCCGGCUAACUCCGUGCCAGCAGCCGCCGUAA
rnacentral:rRNA from 1 species